rnacentral:tRNA from 1 species
ACCGGCGAUAGCUCAGUGGGUAAAGCGCUAGGUGAGAAGAUGGAGAUUACUCCGAGAGCUAUUAUCCGCGCGGGUUCGAAUCCCGCCUGUGGCA